rnacentral:piRNA from 1 species
GAGGAGGUUGAAUGUGAAGCAGCAGUAU